UGAAUUUUUGCUCAGUAAAGCCCCACUGGAAACCCCACUCUCUGCUCCCCAAUCAUCCCUCCAUCCAGCCGGAGCCGGGGUGUGGUCAACGGGGCAGGGUCAGCACGUGUCCUGCCCAACGUCAGUGGACAAACACAGCUCCAAGGUUCUCUCCUGUUGGAGACCCUUCUGUUUUUCGCUCAGCGGUGGAGCAUAAAGAAGCACUCACCUGACUCGUGCUCUUUGCUCCAGAGUUCUGUGCAGGGGGAGCCUUUACCACUGCACCACCUGGGAAGCCCCUGACUAAGGACAACUGCUGGCAAUUAUCCAGAUGAUUCCAAUGGGGAGUGGAACAGCAGGCAGACAAGGUUCUCAGCCUUCUCUGGGGUAAGACUCGGUUUAGAAUCAACAUUGAGAUUAGGCAUUAACGGGACACUCCGAGGUGCAUCAGGAACUUCCUUUGUGGGACUUUCUUGGUGGUCCAGUGGUUGAGAAUCAGUCUUGCAAUGCAGGGCACGUGGGUUAGAUCCCUGGUCGAGGAACUAGGAUCCCACACGCUGGAGCAACUAAGCUUGCGUGCUGCAACUACUGGGCCUGCGAGCUUUAGAGCCUGUGUGCCACAACUAAGACCCACCACAGCCGAAUGUGUAAAUAAAUAUUUUAAAAAGAGGAACUUGCUGAGUGCUGCCCCAGGUCACAUGUGUGAGGUCUUGCACCAAGGCCACAGAAGCAGAGCCCAGAACCAAGGUCACCACCAAAGCUGACUGAGCCCCUUUGCAGCCUUGUCAAAAGGCCCUGAUAAUCACUAACAACCCUCCAGACUCCCAAUUAAGCAAAGAUGCCCACUCCAGUAAACACCCUAUAGCAUCCCAACCAAUCACCUAAUGCCAACCUUCCGGCAGGAAUUUUCUUUGUCUUGAUAUAAAAGCUGGCUCAUGAACACUCAUGAACACUGUCAACUCUCCUGGCCUGUCAGGAGUUGACAGCCAGCUGCGUUCACAGUGCCCGCUCUCUCUCUGCUCUUUGUUCUUAGUAAACUCACUCCCUUCUCAAGUGCUCUGGUCUGGAAAUUCUUUUCCAACCCAUGCUCAUACUGCCUCAACAUCUGGUGGCCUAUGGGGAUUGCUCUCAGGGGACCCUCCCCCAAUCUCCUUUCCUCUUUCCUUCUUCCUUGGGCCCUCUGCGAACAGGCAAGCGGCUGUGGAAGCAACUGAGGAACUCUGACCAGCGUCACCCUCUGGUGUGUCCCGAAGGCCCCACUGCUCGCUGUGCCCCAGCAGUUACCGCCCAAAUGGGCUAACUUCAUGAUCAAUCUUUGGACAAAGAGCAGAUGCUCCAUGAUCUACAACCAGAGGAUUAACACCAGCUUAUAGUCACUCAACAAACUAAGUCAGACGACAAGUUUGUUUCUUCUAGAAUACAAAUAAAAUCUCCAGAUGCUGAUGCAACAAGCUGGUUGACACAUGGACCUCGCGAGAACAAGCGGCUUUCUCAUUCCACAGACGCUCAUCUCUCUCCAAAAAUGCACCCUGACAGUGUGGGCAUUGGGACCAGGACCCCACGACCCUCCUGUCCAGCAGGAAGAAGCCAGAGCAGUUUCUGCCCCUUUCCCCAAUGACUCGGGUCCCCACAUCGCAAGAGAGGAUAGGCAGGUAGUUAGACAUGAGCAGGGUAUAAAGGGGCCAAAGAUUUGGCCCAUUAAUAAGAGGGGGGAACACUGAAUCCUGCCCCAGGGCACAGGUGUGAGGUCUUGCACCAAGGCCACAGAAGCAGAGCCCAGAACCAAAGUCACCUCGAAAGCUGACUGUCCCACUUUAUAACUGUUGCCAAAAACCCCCUGCUGCUGCUGCUGCUGCUGCUAAGUCGCUUCAGUCAUGUCUGACUCUGUGCGACCCAAUGGACAGCAGCCCACCAGGCUCCCCCGUCCCUGGGAUCCUCCAGGCAAGGACAUUGGAU